CGUGUUACAAUGGGGGGUACAGAGGGCCGCUACCACGCAAGUGGAUGCCAAUCCCCAAAACCUCUCUCAGUUCGGAUUGAAGUCUGCAACCCGACUUCAUGAAGCUGGAUUCGCUAGUAAUCGCGCAUCAGCCACGGCGCGGUGAAUACGUUCCCGGGCCUUGUACACACCGCCCGUCAAGCCAUGGGAGCCGGGGGUACCUGAAGUGCGUAACCGCAAGGAGCGCCCUAGGGUAAAACUGGUGACUGGGGCUAAGUCGUAACAAGGUAUC
rnacentral:rRNA from 1 species